rnacentral:rRNA from 1 species
AACGAACGCUGGCGGCAGGCUUAACACAUGCAAGUCGAGCGCCCCGCAAGGGGAGCGGCAGACGGGUGAGUAACGCGUGGGAAUCUACCGUGCCCUACGGAAUAGCUCCGGGAAACUGGAAUUAAUACCGUAUACGCCCUACGGGGGAAAGAUUUAUCGGGGUAUGAUGAGCCCGCGUUGGAUUAGCUAGUUGGUGGGGUAAAGGCCUACCAAGGCGACGAUCCAUAGCUGGUCUGAGAGGAUGAUCAGCCACAUUGGGACUGAGACACGGCCCAAACUCCUACGGGAGGCAGCAGUGGGGAAUAUUGGACAAUGGGCGCAAGCCUGAUCCAGCCAUGCCGCGUGAGUGAUGAAGGUCUUAGGAUUGUAAAGCUCUUUCACCGGUGAGGAUAAUGACGGUAACCGGGGAAGAAGCCCCGGCUAACUUCGUGCCAGCCGCCGCGGUAAUAG